GCUUCGAUAGCUCAGUUGGCAGAGCGGGGACUGUAGUUGUUGACAGCAAUCAUCCCUAGGUCACUGGUUCGAUUCCUGUUCGAAGGA
rnacentral:tRNA from 1 species